rnacentral:tRNA from 1 species
GGAGCUAUAGGUUAAAUACAGUAAACCAUUGGCCUUCAAAGCCGAAAAUGAGUAGUCUAGCUUCG